rnacentral:tRNA from 1 species
UUGGGUUUAUAUUUAAAUUUAUAAAAAUUGAAUUGCAAUCAAUAAUUGACCAAAAUCUUUACCCAAA